ACAAUAUUUGAACCGUCGUCGGUCUGCCGAGCAAUUUCACCAGUUCGGUGGAAGAUCUCCCCUUCGUCGU
rnacentral:pre_miRNA from 1 species